rnacentral:lncRNA from 1 species
GCUUGUGCUCACCCAAACUAUUUUGACCGUCCAUCCAUAACGAAUGCUAUUGAAAUCCUUGGUUCCAAGGCCCCACUGCCCAGUUUACCACGCGAGAUGCCGGUUCCAAUAUACAUUGCAGCUCUGCAAGACAACAUCUUUACAUCUUCAGCAUCCACUUCAUCUUAUACCAGUGCCUCCAACAGAAGCCAAACUCAAAGUUCAGGCACUGGGUCAAGUAUCCAUUCCUUUAAGGAUAAAACAAUGGCUCCAGGUUAUGACACGGAAGCCAAGCAUUGAAUUCUUGGCAGUUGGUAGUUCGAACCUUCUUUUGUUGUAUAUUUGGCUUCUUGUUUUCGAGUUUUGAUGCUUUGGUGAAAAUUUUGUUCUCACCUUAAUAUUAGUAGGUCAUAUCAUGUCUAUCUAUCUAUCUAUAUAUAUAUAUAUAUAUAUAUAUAUAUGAUAUUUAUGCUCAUGAUUGAGUUGAUACAUCAAUUUAAUUAGAUAAAAGAUAAAUUAAAUAUAUUCAUAAAAAAAUUAUAUAUUAAUAAGGUUAUAAAAAUAAAUUAAUUUAAAAGGAAAAAAAACCACCAACAAAUAUUCUAUAUGAAUAUUUAUUUUUAUUUUAUAGGGUGCGAUAUAAAAGAAUUAUCACUAAGGUAGUGAGUGUGUGAAGAAAUCUAGUAUUAAACUAUAUGGAUUGAUACAUGAAUGUAAUAAUUAAAAUUUUAACCCCCUGCAAAAUUUCAAACAUAACCAACCCAAUGCCAGUAUUUCAACCAAAGCAUUUAUAUACUUAAAUCUUGCUUGACAUACUGACAUAACAACUUAAUUAAUAAAAAUCCUAUUAUCAUUUCUAAUUAACACAUAAAACUAAUCAAGCCAUUUCAAUUUGAUACCAAUGCCAUAAAGGACUUCUACCAUUUUACUAACAUAAUCAUCAAAACACAUAAUAUCUUACUUUACAACAAAACUAUAUAGCAUACCAAAAUAACUAUUAUAAUUCUUAUGUACAUGCCACUUUCUCUUAAAAGAAGAAAACAUACCAAAAUAUUUAUGUCGGAGUUGGGAUUGUCCUGGAUACUGAACCGAGACUCUGACCCUUUUCAACCUGCGCACGGAAACAACCGUACGCUGAGUAUUUUAUACUCAGUGGUAUUACCAUAAUUCAAAUUAUAAUAGCAAUAAAGAAUUAUAAUUACCAAGCAUGUAACUAUACAAUUUCUUAAAUAUCAAUUAAUUUAUAAACUUUCAUUAACUAACAAUAACAAUACAAUUUUUAGCUAUUCUUCAAUUUCAAUCAUAUAUCACAUGUAAUAAUUUCAAUCGCUACAUAAACAUUAAAUUCAUGUCUUUCAUUUUCAAUCUCAAAUUUCAAUCCACAAUUUUAAAUUUUCUUAUUUCAAUUAUUCACAAUCGAUCAAAUUCAUUUAAAUUUCUCAUUUUAAUUAUUCACCCUAUUAACAAUCUGGACUUUGACGGAUACACGGAUUCCAACCCAAACACACCAGUACGACACAUUGUGCCUAAAACGGUACAUAGUACCUGAUCAGUAUACGACACAUAAGUGCCUGAAACGACCACGAGGUGCCUGAUAUACGACACAUAAAGUGCCUGAGAUACGACACAUAAAGUGCCUGAUCGGCAAGGCCGAUAAAUCCCGUACUCAUCCAAAUCCUAUGGCAUGCCAACUAUAUCCGACCUAGCCUGACUAGUUAAUAGGGUAUAUAAAUUUCACAAUCUAAUUUUCACUUUUAUUUCAAGAAUUCAUUUUCAAUAUCAAUUAUACUUUUUUUUUCCAUUCACUAAUUAAAACACAGUUCAAUACCAACACAUACUUCUCUCAUUCAAUUUAACUUUUUUUCUUCAAAUUCAAUUCAAUAAAGUCACUUACCUUAUUAUAUGCUUACCAUACACAUAAUUUAAAUUUAACAUCAAAUAAUAAAUAAUUUGAAUUAUAGUAAUACAAACCCGAAUUUUGCUCGAUUAUUCCUCAAUAACCUUCUCCUUUCCUUUGUGUGCCGAUGCCUCGAGUUCUUUGUUAGCUACGAAAAUAAUAAUAAUUUAUACCAUCGAUUACAACAUUAAUUUAUAAUAAUAAUAAUAAUAGAAUUUCUAUCUAAUUUAUACUUUAAUUCCAAUUUAAUCCUAACUAAAUUUAUUUACUUUUCUAAUUUAAUUUACACUCUAUUUCUAUUCAAAUUUCUUCUAAACUCAAAUUUAACUACCAAAUUUUCAGCAUAUUUCAUUAAUUUCAAAUUUUCCUCAAUUUAAUUCCUACAAACAUAAAAUUUAUGACUUACUUCACAAUUUAAUCCUUUUAUCAACUCUAACUAGAAAUUCUAUCAAAUAAAACCUCAAUUUCAUCAUUUAUUCAACAUAAACCCUACUCAAAAAUCUAUUAACUUUCAAAUUUUCAACUUAAAUCCAAGAGUAUUUCACUCUAGGGUUCCAAAAAACAUCAAAUUUAUGAGAAAAGGACUCGAUUUAGCUUACCUAUUAAACUUCAAGCUUCAAAAUCUCAAUUUUUCCCCUUUCUUUUCUUUCCCUUUUUCUUCCCCUGUUUUCGUCUCUUUCUCUGUUUCUUUUCUGUUCUUCCUUUGUUUCUUUUUUCUUUUUGUUUUACUUACCGACUCUAUUUCUUUUAUGCAUUAGUUAAUAAUAAUAAUAAUAAUAAUAAUAAUAAUAAUAAUAAUAAUAAUAAUAAUAAUAAUAUAUUAUAAUAAUCAUAUAAUAAUAUUUUAUUCACAAAUAUCUUUUACUUAAACUAUAAGAAAAUAUUUUAUUUUAUUACAAGUUAUUUUUAUAUAUAUUACACAUGUAUUAUUUAUCAUCACACAUUUGUCUUUAUCUUUUUUGUUUCCUAUAAUAUAUUAUUUUAAUUUUAAUUAAUAUAAUUUAUAAUAUUUUAAUUUAAUAAUAUUUUUAUAAUAUAAAUCAAGAAAAAAUCUAAGAUUUUUCCAUGUAUUGCCGCCUAAUCUUAAGCCAUUGGCUUAUUUACCUAUUUAGUCCUUCUUAUUUUAUUUUGAUCUAUAAUUAAACUUUCACUUCUAUUAUAAUUUAAUUCUUUUUACUAAUUACUCUUAAUUAAGCUAAAUUCACCUAUCUAAAACCUAAUUAAACACACAACUAGUUUAAUAAAUAUUUCUAAUAAUUAUUUUCGAACUCAAUUUACUAAGACAGAGGCCCGAUAUUAUACUUUUCCAAUGCCUGUGAAUUUUUAAGUCAUUACAGGUAAUUAACGAAAUCACUUCAAUGAAUGCACCAAUCCCCUUUCUUCUUUUUCUGAGAGUGUGUUCAAUGUUAAACUUGAUAAUACCAAUGAAGACAUUGGUUGGAUUCCUUACCUAACACGUCCAUUCACUUGUAAAAGUAAAAGUCUUGGUUAGUAUUUUGUUCUUUUCAUUGGAUAUGAAGAUUACUAUUUUGUUCUUGUUCUUAUGGUUUUCCAAGUGUAAAGUAAGGAUUGUUUUGGUUCUUAAUAAAAGUUGAAUUUUCUUAACAAAAUGAACAAAUAUAUAAAAUAUUAUCAAAAAAAGUCAUUUCGAGAAGUUCUUAAGAGAACCAUUGACUUGUAAUUAAUCCAAAGAUUCCAAGUCUUGCAUUGAUGGCUGGAUUAAAAUAAAUUCCACCCAAAAAAAUAAGCAACAAGGCCAAAUUAAUUUAUAACUUGUAAUUGGGGGUAGGUUGGCACCUUCUUUUAUUGAAUAAAUAUCAAAAUUGUAUUUGAAAUUUAAUUUAAUGAAUAAUAUCAUAUAUAUAAAUUUUAAUUUUAUGUUAUUAUAUAUGAAUCUUUUAUUUGAUUCAAUUUUCACAAAUUAUUAACAAUAUUAUCGAAUUAGUAUAAUUUACGUUGUUAUAUUAUAUACAUAGUAUGAGAAUAAAUGUAUGUAAUUUAAACGUGUACAACUGAAUCAAAAUUAAAAUUUUAUAUAUAAUUACAUCAAUUUAAAUUUUAUCAUCAAAUUUCAUAUAUAAAUUAAUAAAUAUUUUUUAAAAUAAUAUAAUUUUUUUUAAAUUUCAUAUAUAAGUUUUUUUUUUUUUUGUCCAAGUUCCCACCACAAAGUAGGAGAUUCAAUACGAUGCUUUGAAGGUCCAAUGUAGGGCAAGAAUGGCAAACUUUAUUUUAGUGAGGAAUGAAUUAUUUUAUUCCAGGAAAUGAAUUACAUUGUGUUGCAGCAACUUUCCUCAAAAUCCUUACUCCGAAAAUGAAGAAAGCUCAAAAAGCUGAGAAUAUGUAUCUCAAAUCACGUAAACCUGAAUUUCUCUUCAUACUAUUAUUCUUAUACACCCUUCCUAUGGGGUUACUUGUUCCUUUUACCAUGGCUGCAGCAAUUGAUGAUGGUAACAUCCAUUUCAAUUUGACUGAUUUCACCCCAGAUAUGCCUCACAUAGAGUUUGAAAAUGAUACAACCGCAUCAGGUGGCCAAAUCCAACUCACCACCAACCAGAUAAACAAGAAUUUAAACGAUAGUGUUGGUCGAGCCACUUAUUACCAACCAAUGCACCUUUGGGACAAUUCAUCAGGGAAUCCCAGACUUGCAGAUUUCACCACUCAUUUUUCUUUCUCCAUCAAUUCCUUGAAGAAGCCCUCCGGAGAUAGGGGUGAUGGGUUUGCGUUUUUCCUUGCUCCCGUUGGCUCAAAAAUCCCUCCUUACUCCGGAGGUGGUUGCUUGGGACUUCAAAGUUGCGAUAUAGACGCCAACUCUAAAUUUGUUGCAGUGGAAUUUGAUACGUUUCCCAAUGUAUGGGAUGAUCUGAGGUCAGAUCACGUGGCCAUUGAUCUCAACUCUGUAAAAGCUUCAUUCCACCCUGUCGAAUGGCUGUGGAGUGAUAUUGAAAAUGGGAGUAAAGUUGAUGCUUUCAUCACUUACAACUCUAGUACAAAAAACCUGAGUGUCUUUUUACUCGGUGCUGAGGACUUUAAUCGUCUAAAUUCAUCUGCUCUUUCUGCAAUAUUGGAUCUUAGUCAAUAUUUACCAGAAUGGGUCACUUUUGGCUUCUCCGGAGCCACUGGAUCUAGCAUUGAGCUACACACUAUUUAUUCCUGGAGUUUCAGCUCCAACUUACAAGUUUCCACGAAUAAAACCAUCAAUCCUCCAAAUGUGGCGCCAGGCCCUCCAAUCAACCCCAAAAGGAAGAGCAAGACAUGGCUAUGGGUAGUUCUAGCCAUUGCUGGUGGCAUUUCUGCAUUGCUCCCAGUUCUGAGUCUGGUUUGGCUUUUCUGUAGGAGGAGAAAGUACAGAAGGAUGAGGGAAGAUGGGACCAUGUCUGUCAACGUAGACGUGGAAAUGAUGACAGCACUAGGAAGUUUCUACAGGGAACUCAGGCUUGCAACCAAUAAUUUGCCGAUGAAGGUCUCCUUGGAGAGGGAGGUUUUGGAAAAGUUUAUUUAGGCUUCUUGAGGGACAUCAAUUCCAAUAUUGCUGUCAAAAGGAUAACUCCAAAUUCUCAACAAGGGGUGAAAGAGUACGAAUCCGAAAUUACCACUAUUAUCAAAUUGAGGCACAGGAAUUUGGUCCAACUCAUCGGUUGGUGCCAUGACAAUAAGGAGUUCCUCAUUGUGUAUGAGUUCCUUCCAAAUAGGAGUCUCGAUUACCAUCUACAUAGAGAGCCAUGCUUGUUGACAUGGGAUACAAGGUAUAAAAUCGCCAUGGGAGUGGCCUCAGGGUUGUUUUAUCUGCAAGAAGAAUGUGAUCGAUGCGUGCUGCAUCGAGACAUCAAGUCAAGUAAUGUUCUGCUAGAUUUUAGUUUCAAUGCCAAGCUUGGUGACUUUGGGCUGGCUAGGCUUGUUGACCACGGACAAGGGUGUCAAACAACAAAAUUGAUCCUUGGAACUGAUGGUUAUAUAGCACCCGAGUGUCUUGAGACAUACAAAGCCAUUAAGGAAUCCGACAUAUACAGCUUUGGUAUUGUUGCCUUAGAAAUAGCCUCCGGAAAGAAGGCCGUAGAUGUAAUUGAAAGGAAUGGCAAGAGAUUCAAGACAAAACUGGUGGAAUGGGUUUGGGAAUUGUAUAGGGAAGAGCGUCUUUUGGACGCUGCUGACCCAAGAUUGUCUGGAAACUACGACACGGAACGAAUGGAACGGUUGCUGUUAGUUGGGAUGGCUUGUGCUCACCCAAACUAUUUUGACCGUCCAUCCAUAACGAAUGCUAUGGAAAUCCUUGNNNNNNNNNNNNNNNNNNNNNNNNNNNNNNNNNNNNNNNNNNNNNNNNNNNNNNNNNNNNNNNNNNNNNNNNNNNNNNNNNNNNNNNNNNNNNNNNNNNNNNNNNNNNNNNNNNNNNNNNNNNNNNNNNNNNNNNNNNNNNNNNNNNNNNNNNNNNNNNNNNNNNNNNNNNNNNNNNNNNNNNNNNNNNNNNNNNNNNNNNNNGAAGCCAAGCAGUGAAUUCUUGGCAGUUGGUAGUUCGAACCUUCUUUUGUUGUAUAUUUGGCUUCUUGUUUUCUAGUUUUGAUGCUUUGGUGAAAAUUUUGUUCUCACCUUAAUAUUAGUAGGUCAUAUCAUGUCUGUCUAUAUAUAUAUAUAUAUAUAUAUAUAUAUGAUAUUUAUGCUCACGAUUGAGUUGAUACAUCAAUUUAAUCAGAUAAAAGACAAAUUAAAUAUAUUCAUAAAAAAUUAUAUAUUAAUAAGGUUAUAAAAAUAAAUUAAUUUAAAAGGAAAAAAAACCACCAACAAAUAUUCUAUAUGAAUAUUUAUUUUUAUUUUAUAGGGUGAGAUAUAAAAGAAUUAUCACUAAGGUAGUGAGUGUGUGAAGAAAUCUAAUAUUAAACUAUAUGGAUUGAUACAUGAAUAUAAUAAUUAAAAUUUUAACAAUUUUAAUUGUAUUUUAGAUAUUUUUAUUUCGGAUAAUCUCUUAAUAGGUUCUAAUGGAAUUAAUAGAUAUAGAAGUGCAUGUUUGAGUGGCGUUUAUUGACUCGAGUUAGUGAUCCUAACUUUUGGUCCAACCUUUGUUAUUUGCGUCUCUUGCUUUAUUGUUAAUCUUACAAAGCUUUCUGAUUAAUUUUAGUUUUAUACAUUAUGAAUUGGUUCAAUUUAAUUCCUUUAAUUUGAAGUUUUAAAAUUGUAAUCUUGGUAUUUGUAUUUUAAUUUGGUUAAUUUUAAUUCUUAUACUUUUCGAAUUGGUUAAAUUUAAUUCUUGUAAUUGGAAGUUUUAAAAUUGUAGUCUUAAUAUUUUAAUUUAGUCAAUUUUAGUUUUUAUACUUUUUGAAUUAGUUAAAUUUAAACCUAAACAAUAGCAAUUAAAUCUAUUUUGUUAAAUUCUAAUAUUAGUCCCAUAUAGUAUACAUAAAGUUGUAGACUUAUUCCGCGUUCUCUAAAUUCAUCAUUUUUAAUCUUUAUGCUUUUUGAAUUUUAAAUUUUAAAUAUUAAUACUAACGGCGAUUAUUAAAUCUAUUAAUUGGAUUUUUUUGGAUUCAUCAUUCCAACUUGCUAAUUUGAACAGUACAUCAAAGGAGGGCCUAUUGUUGGAUUUGUAGAUUUGAGCCCCUGAAAUGUUUGUGUGUAUGCAUGGCUAAGUAAAAUUUUUGAAAUUUCUUUUACGAAUUCUGAUAGCAGUAAUUAACUCGAUGAUGGGUGUCGAUUCCACCAAUAUAAUCCUACGCCUAAUGUAACACCCCUUACCCGAGACCAUUGUCGGAGUCGAGCAAGAGGCAUUACUUAGCUUAUCUUACUAAUUCGGAGUAUAAAAACUUGUUUUGAAAAUUAAUUUCACUAUUUACUGCAAAUCUGUCCAAUCGUGUAACAGUUACUAAAUUAAUUAUAACUCGAGUUACGGGACUCAAAAUUUAAUUCCGCAAAUUUUCCCUGAAACUAGACUCAUAUAUCUUCCUACUAUAAAAUUUUUAGAAUUUUUGCUUCAGUCAAUUAGUACAGUUUAUUAGUUAAAGACUCCCCUGUUUCACCACUUGACUGUCCUGACCUCUUGCCACUAAAAAUAAAUUUUCUCAUUGUAGGAUUUUCAUAUGAAGUUAUUACUUGUUUGUAUAGAAAAUAGACUCAAUAAGUAAUCUAAGCAUGUAAAAUACAACUCAUAAAUAUUUUUUUACAAUUUUUAAUGAUUUCCUAAACUCAAAACAGGGGACACCAAAAACUGUUCUGACCCUGUGUCACGAAAAUUCAAAUAUCUUAAAAUAUAAAACUCCUUUUGUUAAACCGUUAUUUUUCCAUGAAAAUAGACACAACAAGCUUUAAUUCCAUAUAUCAUUCACCUUCUAACUCAUUAUAUACUAUCCUAGGUGAUUUUUAAAGUCACAUCACUGUAGCUGCUUGAAAUCUGUUUCUUUGCAAACUUUUACUCUUUCAUGAUUUCCAUGCAUGAUUUAUCAUCUAAAUAUACAUAUUACCAAACAUUAUCACAUACUCACACAUCUUCCUUUAGCAAUAUCAUAGAUAAAAACAUUCAAAAUGACUAAUCCCUAUACAUCACUUAGGUAUAAACAUUACUUAGGUACAUGCCACGUUAUCAAAAGAAAGGUACAUCGCUAAAUUCUCUGAGGUCGGGACUACUCUGGAUGCUGGACCGAACACUGGAUUUCUACUAACUUGCGCACGGAAACAACCGUACACUGAGCAUGGGAAUACUCAGUGGUAUUACCAUAAUUCAAAUUUAUAACAUUAAUGGAUAAAUUAUAUACAUUUAAUUUAUGUCUACAAUUAUUCAUUAAUUAUCCCAUACUUUAAAUCAACUUGACCAUUAAUAACAAUAAGCAAUAUUUCAUUCUGGUAUUCAUACCUUAUUUCACUAUCUAAAUUUUAUUGGAUUUUUCACAUCUCAUUCCAAUAAUUUAUUUCAAUUCAUAUGAAAUUCAUUCUAUUUAUCACUAUAUUUAGUAUCAAUUCUAUUGCAAUUUUUACUCACUAAUAUCAUAUAACAAAAAUUUACUCUUAAUCAAAUCAUGAGCUUUGGGUUCAUAUCUUCAAAUCUCUUAUCUCGAUUUCCAAUUCACCUAUCAAUUCACAAUUUCACUUUCUCAUUUCUUUCCAUACCUCAAUCAAUCACACUUAUUCAAUUUUUUUUUCAUUCCAAUUAUUUACCCUAUUAACAAGACUCGGACUUUGGCGGAUACACGGAUCCAACCAAACACACCAGAAUGGCACCCAGUGCCUCAUCGGAUAGUUCGAAGCAAUAAAGUGACACCCAGUGUCUCAUCGGCAGAGCCGAAGAAAGUUGGUACCCAGUACCUCAUCGAAUCUAUCCGAAGUAACAGUAUGACACCCAGUGUCUCAUCGACUCAAGGUCAAAAUAUCCCUGAACACUUCCAAUCCUAUGGCAUGCCAACUAUAUCCGACUCAGCCCGACUAGUUAAUAGGGUAUUCAAAUCAUUUUUCUAUUUCAAAAUCACUUUCGAUUCAAUCACAAUUUAAUUCAGAUUCACUUCCCACUUUCUAAUCAAUAUACAAUUCAAUACCAAUACAUAUUUCAGAUAUUCACGUACAAUCAUACUUCAAUUCAAUUCAAACCACUUUUCUAUCUAUACUCAAUUCACAUAUUCACACAUAAUCAUAAUUUAAUUCACUUUUAUUCAAUUCAUAUUUUUAAUUCAUUUAAUUCAAUAUCGAUAUUCACCUUAUUUUUAUUUACUAAACAUAUUAUUCAAAAUUCAACAAUUACUAUCAAUAAAUUCAAUACCAAUACGUGUGUGUAUAUAUCUAUAUAUUUCAUUCAAUUCAAUCAUGAUACUCACCUUAAAUUUGCUUAUAAUGUAUAUUAAUUUAAAUUUCAACAAUGAAUAAUUAAAUUCGAAUUAUGGUAAUACUAACCGAAAUUUUCUCGAAUCACUCCUUGUCCACCUUCUCCUUUCCUUUCUCGUACAAUGACUCUUGCACGACAUUAGCUACGUAAUUAAACAAUUAAAAAUCAUUAAUACACAAUUUCAUCAAAAUAUUUCCAUUUAUACCUAAACUCUAAUUUAAUCCCUUAUCAAUACUAAUUUUAUUUUUCCUAAUCUAACUCCAUAUUCUCUCUUAAUUCUCACUAUAAACUCAUUUUAACUCUUCAAUUUCACCAUAAAUCCCUAAUUUCGAAAUUCUCUCAAUUUAGUCCCUACUAUUCAAAACUUACACUUUAUUUUACAAUUAAAUCAUUUACUAACUUCUAACUUGAAAUUAAAUCAAUUUAACCCCUAACACUUCAAUUUAUUCAACAUGAACAUCAUCUAAUAAUCUACUAACUUUCAAAAUAUCAACAUAAAUCAAGUAGUAUUUAUCUCUAGGAUUCCAAAAACAUCAAAACUAAGAGAAAAGGGAUUAAAUUGACUUACCAAAUGAGCUUAGAACCUCAAAACCUCAAUUUUCUCUUUUCUUUCUUUCUUUUCUUUCUUUCCUUCUUUCCUUCUCUGUUUCGUCCAUGCUAUUCUGUUUCUAUUCUCUUUUCUAUCUUGUAUUUCAUUAGUUUAAUAUAAUAACAAUGAAGAUAAUAAUAUAAAAUUAUUUACUUAAAUAAUAAGUAAAUGUGUAAUAAUUACUAAUAUAUGUAUUUUAUUUUUCCACAUUUCAUCAUAUACACCAUACAUUUGUCAACAAUUUUGUUUAUUUAAAAUAUAAUAAUAUAAUAAUAUAAUAAUAUAAUAAUAUAAUAUAAUUAAUAUAAUUUACAAUAUAAUAAAUAAUAAUAUACUUCAAAAAAAAUCUCAGAUUUUAUCAUGCAUAUGCCGCCUCAUUUAUGGGACUUGGCAUAUUUACCUAUUUAGUCAUUUUAACUUUUCUUUAAUCNNNNNNNNNNNNNNNNNNNNNNNNNNNNNNNNNNNNNNNNNNNNNNNNNNNNNNNNNNNNNNNNNNNNNNNNNNNNNNNNNNNNNNNNNNNNNNNNNNNNCUUUUUAAUCAAUUAACCAUUGGAACAUUAAAAUUUCUUAACGAAACUUUAAUACUACCCUAAUGACACUCCGUAAAUAUUUAUAAAAAUAUUUACGGCUCAGUUUAUAAUAUCGAGGUCUCUAUACCUCGUUUUCGACCCAAUUUUCCUAAUAAUUUCUUUUAAAUCACAAAAUUCGCUAAUUCAAAAAUAUUUCUAAAAUCACGCUGAACUUAUAAUUAUUAAUUAAUAAAUUUUUCUAACGUUUUCAUCAGAUUUAGUGAUCUCAAAUCACUAUUCUGACACUACUGAAAAUUGGGCUGUUACACCUAAUUUGUAAACUUGAGCAGUAUAAGGAGUAGGGUCGAUCCCUCAGAGACUGGGUUCACGUAAAAUUGUUGCUCUUUCUCGACCAGAUUCGUGUCUGGGCAGUUGUCGUGCCCAAGAAAUUUGGGGGGAGGAUAAAAAUUGAAACUUGAAAUAAACAGAAAAAAAUACGUAAAAAGUAAAAGCUGAAAACAAAUAAUAAAAACAGUUAAAUAAAUCUGAAGAAAGAUUAAUUAAACUUAGCUCAGCUUCAGGCACGGGUUUUUCCUCGUCUUUGAAUCGAUCCUCGAAAUUAGAUGAACUCCUCUUUUCCAAUAAGCUAGUUAUAGAUACCAAGGACGCCUCGGACACCAACUCUUCCUUGUGUAAAUUAGUUAUGAAACGUCCUAUAACUAAACCUUACCGAUCGAACAACCAACGAAACGUUCGUGGUUUAGAACUCCGGCAGCUUUGCGUUCUAGAAGAGCCUAGCUCGAACCAAUAUCCUCAACCGCUUGAGACAUUUAAAUCCGGUUACUACUUCCCUUGACAGAGCCAAACAGCAAUCCCCACUUGGCACGCCAAUGUUUUCACGAAAAACCGAUUAGAUAAUCAAUCCUUUCGGAAUCCCAACUGUAUGUCUAACCACACUAACUCAAACGACAUCUUUUUUUUGACUUAGUGUCGAUUUGACUUUGUGAGUUGAUGAAGUCAUACUCUUAAUCCGAAGAAGUAAUAAAAAUUGAAAAUUAGGAAUUGAAUUGCUCGGGUUCGUAACUCAUGGAUCUUGAAGAAGCUAACAUCGACCUGAAGCUGAAAUGGGUUUAGUUAACUAAGGUUUGGGGCAUAUUGGAGUUGGUCAUAUCUUGAAUAGGUUGGAUGGAAAAAAAUGUUGAAAUGGUAAAAAGUGGGUGGCUUAAUAUGUGGAAUAGUUUUUGGUUACACGGAAUGAGAAAAAAGUUUGGAAAAGGAAAAGAAAAUUGUAAGUAGUGUAGGUUGGGGACAAGCUAGAAAUUAAUAAAUUGAAAGUAAAGAAACCAAAGGCAACAAAUAAUUUUGAGAGAAUGAAGGAAAGAUUGCAUUCCAAAGAUGAAAGCUUGAUUGAAAACUUGAUUAAAAACUUGAUUAUUAAAUGAACAUAGUAGCCCCCUAUUUAUACUAGUGGCUUUGAACAAAUUUGCCAAAUUAAGGGCCACUAGCCAUAGAAAAUCAAGGAAACAAAAUAUUUUCAUGAUAUCAAAAUUCCUACAUAAUCUCCCACUAAGUCAACAUAAAAUUUCAGCUAAUUACAUCUUGGAAAAAUUCUGCUUUGGCCCGCCUUCUUUGCUCCUUUCUUCAAUCUAGCCCCAAUUGUUUCCUUUUUUUUUUCUAAUUAGCCUCAAAUUGCACCCCUAUAUAAAAUUCAAUAUAAACAUGAAAAAAUCAGUGAUGCAUUCUCAUAAAUUGACCAAUUAAAUUACAUAAAAUAUGUAUUUUUAACAUUUAAUCACUCGAAUUUAAAUUUAUAUAAUAAUACUAAAAUAAUUUGUGAGUAAUAAACGGAUUUAACUCUUUAAUCAUAUUUGCAUAUUUAAAUUCAAAUAAUUUUAAAAAUACAGAUAUUCGACCCAUUUCCGUUCUUAAUAAGAUUAAAGAUGCUAUCCAAAUUAAUAUUUAUAUAAUCUAUCAGGUCGAAUAGAUCAUCAGGCCGAUAUCUAUGUCAAAUAGCAACACAUGUUAGAAAAUUAUUAACUAAAUUCAAUAACUUAAUUAAAUUAUUAUCUAUACUAUUUAAGAAAUUUUUUAUUGAAUUGGUGUCACCUAUCAAUCGAGUCCUGAUUCAGUUAGAAAACUAUCAAAAAAAUCAUGUAUUUAAAAAGUAAAUUAUACAAUUACGUGAGUAUUUUUAGCUUUUUAUAUUUUUAUAUAUCAAUACUCUAUAAUGAGAUUUAAACCAAAUACAUCGUGCAUAUAAAACGUUUUCUUUACCGUUUAAACUAAAUUAAUUUUUAGUUUUUAUAUGAAACUUUAAUAAGUAUAUUUGUUAAUAAAUUUGUUCUAUAUUUAUUUUUUUUCAUUUUGGUUGAUGGAAAUAAAUUGAAAGCUUAAUUAAAUAAAUUUAAACAAAAUUCAUCAAAAUAAAAUUAAAAAUUUAUUUAUAAUUUAAACACGAAAAGUCAAACUAAACCAUCAAAAUCUUCCAACAUGCAUGAAGGUUGCGAUAAAGCAAUCCUAAUUGUACACAGACUCUUUAUCUAUUGUCAUUGAUGGACCCCAUAAGUCAGACCUUUAAAAUGACUUGUGAGAAAAUAAGCAACAAGACAAGUUAAUUUAUAACUUUCUAAAAUUAAAAUUAACUCAAAAUAAAUUAAUUUAUAAUUUAGUUGGGGUGGGUUGGAACUUUCCUUUUAUGGAAUAAACAUCAAAAUUAUAUUUGAAAAUAUAGUAUUAUAGAUGUCGGUUGAGUGUUAACUCGAUUGUCAUGAGUAUUGUUAUUAAUGUAGGAGAAUAUGAAUUUAAGUACGCUGAAACACAUUAUCUUUCUACGAAUUUACUUGCUCAUUUUACCAUGGCUGCAUCAAUUGAUGUUGGUAACAUCCAAUUCAAUUUGACUGAUUUCACCCAAAAUAUGCCUAGCAUAGGCAAUCCAACUCACCACCAACCAAAGAAACAAGGAAUUAAACGAUAGUGUUGGUCGAGCCACUUAUUACCAAACAAUGCACCUUUGGGACAAUUCAUCAGGGAAUCUCAAGAUUUCACCACUUGUCGAAACAAUUUUUUUAAAUUCAAAAAACGGGGAUCGACUUUGAAAAUAAAAUGGGAGUCGCCACCAAUCUUUUAUUGAGGUGUGAUCGGAUCACCUUAAAAAUAAUUUUUGGUCUACGAAUUUUGAGAAAAUAAGUUCGGAAGUCGGUUGCGCACGAGGAAGGGCUAGCACCCUCAUAACGCCCAAAAUUGGUACCAAAUUGGUUAUUUAAUGUCUUAGUGUCGAAACUUAACUUGAAAAGAUUUUUAAAUACGAUCUCAUGAAAUGAAAGCUUAAAUAAUUGAAUUGGUUAAAUGGACGGACCCAUUUCAAAGAAAUAGAUCACCACACUCAGUGAGUUAGAGUGCAACAGUUCAAUCUUCAAAGUUAGGUUCAUCCCUUUUUAAUAUUUUUUUUAAACAUGUUUUAAGAAGGAUAUUUGAUUAUUUAAGUCAAUCGAGAAAUCGGAAUCCAGUAAGUAGGGUUCAAUUUCUCGAAAUUCUUAAACAUCAAAUAUUGCCUUUAUUUUAAAAUCGAGAUAACAAAAUGUCGUAUCCAGUAAGUUAGGAUCCAACAUUUUGAAAUUUAAAGAAUUUUAUUUUAAUAGUUGUAUGGUUUUAAUAAAAUGAACACUUGAUUAUCUUAAUUCAUCGAGAAGAAUUGAAGCCCAGUAAGUUAGGGCACAAUUCUCUCGAGAACCUAUGAACACCAAGCUUUUUUUAAGGAUUAUGAAAUAAAACGAUUAUGAUGCUUUAAUAAAAUUCAACUCUUACAAAUGGAUAAAAUAACAAUUUAAACUUAAACUAGAAGCAAUUAAACAAAUAAUAGGCAAAUACAAACAUUGACCUUAAUCAUAUCAUACAAACAUCCAUAUUAAUAAUUUAACAACCCAUAAAACGAAUAAAAUAAAUAAGGUUUAAGAAAUAAAACAUUUAUGUAUAAAAAUUAUGUAAAAAAAGGUUAAUCCAAAGUUAAUGAUAUACUCUAUAUACAUAUAUAUACUAAAAAUAAUUUCAUAUAAAUUAUAUAUUUUUUUAAAGUAAUAUUGAUAAAAUUAAAACAUAUUGAUAAUAAUUUAAAAAAAUAAUGUAUAAUUUUAUUUAAAAAAUUUGUACUAAUAAUAAAUUUGAAAAUAAUAUCAUACUAAAUAUCAAAAUAAUGUUAGAAAAUGAAUUAAAAUAAGAAUUAAUUUGUUUAAAAAACAUUUUUUUUUGAAGACAAAAUUAAAUAUAAUAAAACAAUUUUGAAAAGUAAUAACAAUAUUAUAAUAAAAAUAUUAAUAAAUUUAAAAUCGGAACUUAAAAUUAAACCAAAAGGAAAAGCCAAAAUUAAAUAAAUAUAGUAGAUUCAAAAUAUUAUUAUAUAAUAAAUUUAAAAUAUAAAAUACAAACUAAAAUAAUAAUCUAUCAUAUCUUAAAUUAUAAUAAUUGUAGAUUUAAAAAAACCAUCAAAAUCAAAUGUUACAAAUAACGUUAGAUUUUAUAAUAUACGAAAAUAGGAUUAAUUAUAAUUAAAAAAUGUUAUUGAUUUCUUUUUUUUUAAACUAAACUCAUGUUAAAUUAAAAUUUAUUUCAAAAUUGGAGGACUGAAUCGACAAUUAAACCCAAAAGCUCAGAAUAAUCAAAGUCAAGUGCAGUAAACGGUAUCGUUUCAAUUUGGAUCUAAAUGAAAACAGAACAAAAUAUGCAGUACGAAUUACAAACAAUUAAAAGAAAUCAAAUCGCAAUUCCAUCAAACAUAGAGGGACCCAUUGAACAAAUAGACCAAAUGAUCCAUAAUGCGCGGAUCCUUCCCGGAUCGGGUCACCAUUCGGAUCUGGUCACCAAAACGAUGUCGUUUCAAAGUCAUUGCAUUGGCUUUAAACGACGACGUUCAAACUACAUAAUUAAAGUUUUAAAAAAAACCUAAUAAUCUAUUAACUUUGAAAACCUGAAGAGAACUAAGGUUCUCUGCGCCGUUCUGGGCAUUGGGGGCAUGCAAGCAAUUGCUGACCCUAACCCAUACUUCGAUGAUGACGGAGAGAGCCAGGAUCCCACCGCCAGGUACGCCUUUUCCUUUCUUUUUAUUGUCUCUUCUCUUCUCUCUGAUUAAUGACACAAAAAUAAAUAAAAGAAAAAAGAAACAAGAAAUAACUGGUGAAAGGAAAAAGAAAUGAAACCCAGAAAAUCACCUUUCGGUAUUUCAAAAUUUCUUUGUAUUCUGAAUGCGUGUGUGUAACCCCUUACAAAUUUCAAUCGGUCCUCUUUAUAGCCAAACCAAGAAAAAAAAUAAAAUUUCUCUAUUUUUUUGCACUUUCUUCCUAUUUUCUACUAGUAUUUGCUGUCAAUCUAUUAUUGUUCCCCCUUUCUUUACUGUUGUUAUUUGUUUUGCUGCUUGUUUGUUUGUCCUUCUUGCAGGUACGGCGUACGGAGGGUAGACGUGGCGUGUGGAGGCACGAGUGAGGCUGAGGGAGAACCUUGUUGGCUGCGGCGUUGGAGGCUUACCAUUCAGCUUUUGAUUUUGCAUCGUUGGGCCACAUAGUAAUUGGGCCACUGUUUUAGGAAUUGGGUCUAGGUUAGAUUUGGUUUCAAUUGUAUGGGUAUUGGGUUAAAAAUGAUUUGGGCCCAUGUAUUUGGACUUUAGACUUUUAAAUAUUGAUUUGGUUUAUUAUUAUUACGGGCCGAGAAAAUAUUGGGCCUUACACCACUCAUUUUUCUUUCUCCAUCGAUUCCUUCAAUAAGUCCUCCGGUGAUAAUGAUUGUUCUCAUUGGCUAUGAAGAUUACUAUUUUGGGUAAACUAUCAAAAUAGUCACUUUUGUUUGCCUUAGGUUACAUUUUAGUCACUUAUAUUUGAAAUGUUACGUUUUAGUCACUUACGUUAUCAUGUUGUAACAUUUUAGUCACUGAGUCAUUAAUUGUCAACAAUGGUGUAACGGUAAGUUGAUGUGGCACGUUAAAUCAUCAUUUCAAACCAAAAUUUUAGGUUAAAUUCUACAAUUGGUCCCUAUAUUUUUUCAUUUUCAACAAUUUAAAAAAUUUCUUUUAUGUUCUUCUAUUUUUUUUUCCAUUCUCUUAUGCUUCUCCCUCUAUUUUCCUCCCUUCUUCAUUUCUUUUAACAUAGUUUUUCUAUGCUUUCCAUUUGUAACUAGUCCACAAGCUCGCCUCACUCGAAAUAUUUAACUUGUUCAAAAAAAUAAAACAUAAAAAAACUACGUUGAAAGAAAUGGAGAAGGGAGGAAAACAAAGGGAGAAGCAUAAGAGAAUGGAAAAGAAAGAAAGUUAAAAAAACAUAAAAGAAAAAAAUUAAAUUGCUCCAAACGAAAAAAUAUGGGGAUCGAUUGUAUAAAUUAACCUAGAAUUUUUGUUUGAAAUGAUGAUUUAACAUGCCACAUCAGUUUACUGUUACACCGUUAACAGAAACUAACGGCUCAGUGACUAAAAUGUUACAACGUGAUAACAUAAGUGACUAAAACGUAACAUUUCAAACAUAAGUGACUAAAAUGUAACCUGAGCCAAACAAAAGUGACUAUUUUGGUAGUUUACCCUACUAUUUUUAGAUUUAAAUUUUGUUCUUGUUAUGGUUUUCCAAGUGUAAAGUAAUGGUUAUUUUCGUUCUUAAUAAAAGUUGAAUUUUCUUAGCAAAAUGUACAAAUAUAUAAAAUCUUAUCAAAAAAAUCAUAUCGAACUUGUUGUGAGGAGACCCAUUGACUUGUAAUUAAUCUAAAGUCUUUGUAGUUUUAUAAACAUUUAUGACCACAAUAAGUGGAGCCCAUAGAGAAGAAGUCAAUUAUCUAUUGAGUAAAAGAUUAUAUGAAAUUGAGAUACUAUAUUGAGUAGAAGAAGUCAAACUUGCGAUUCAGACGCCAACUCUAAAUUUGUUGCCGUGGAGUUUGAUACGUUUCGCAACCUAUGGGAUCCUCCGACGAUGUCAGAUCACGUGGCCAUUGAUCUCAACUCUGUAAAGGCUUCACUCCACCCUGUCGAAUGGCUGUGGAAUGAUAUUGAAAAUGGGGGGAAAGUUGAUGCUUUCAUCACUUACAACUCCAGUACAAAAAACCUUAGCGUUCUUUUAUGUGAUGCUGAUGGCCUUACUCAUCAAAAUUCAUCUAGUCUUUCUGCAAUAUUGGAUCUUAGUCUAUAUUUACCAGAAUGGGUCACUUUUGGCUUCUCCGGAUCCACGGGACGAUUAUCUGAGCUACACACUAUUUAUUCCUGGGAUUUCAGCUCCAGCUUACAGGUUUCCAUGAAUCCAACCAGCAAUCCUCCAAAUGUGGCGCCAGGCCCUCCAAUCAACCCCAAAAGGAAGAGCAAGACAUGGCAGUGGGUAGUUCUAGCCAUUGCUGGUGGCAUUUUUGCAUUGCUCCUAGUUCUGGGUCUGGCUUCGCUUUUCUGCAAGAGGAGAAAGUACAGAAGGAUGAGGGAAAAUGGGACCAUGUCUGCCAACGUAGACAUGGAAAUGGUGACAGCACCUAGGAAGUUUUCCUACAGGGAACUCUGGCUGGCAACCAAUAAUUUUGCCGAUAAAGGUCUCCUUGGAGAGGGAGGUUUUGGAAAAGUUUAUUUAGGCUUCUUGAGGGACAUCAAUUCCAAUAUUGCUGUCAAAAGGAUAACUCCAAAUUCUCAACAAGGGGUGAAAGAGUACGAAUCCGAAAUUACCACUAUUAUCAGAUUGAGGCACAGGAAUUUGGUCCAACUCAUCGGUUGGUGCCAUGACAAUAAGGUGUUCCUCAUUGUGUAUGAGUUCCUUCCAAAUAGGAGUCUCGAUUACCAUCUACAUAGAGAGCCAUGCUUGUUGACAUGGGAUACAAGGUAUAAAAUUGCCAUGGGAGUGGCCUCAGCGUUGUUCUAUUUGCAAGAAGAAUGUGACCAAUGCGUGCUGCAUCGAGACAUCAAGUCAAGUAAUGUUCUGUUGGAUUUGAGUUACAAUGCCAAGCUUGGUGACUUUGGGCUGGCUAGGCUUGUUGACCACGGACAAGGGUCUCAAACAACAAAAUUGAUCCUUGGGACUGAUGGUUAUAUAGCACCCGAGUGUCUUGAGACAUACAAAGCCAUUAAGGAAUCCGACAUAUACGGCUUUGGUAUUGUUGCCUUAGAAAUAGCCUCCGGAAAGAAGGCCGUAGCUGUGAUUGAAAGGAAUGGCAAGAGAUUCAAGACAAAACUGGUGGAAUGGGUUUGGGAAUUGUAUAGGGAAGAGCGUCUUUUGGAUGCUGCUGACCCAAGAUUGUCUGGAAACUACGACACGGAACAAAUGGAACGGUUGCUGUUAGUUGGGAUGGCUUGUGCUCACCCAAACUAUUUUGACCGCCCAUCCAUAACACAGGCUAUCGAAAUACUUGGUUCCAAAGCCCCACCGCCCAGUUUACCACGCGAGAUGCCGGUUCCAAUAUACAGUGCAGCUCUGCAAGACAACAUUGUUACACCUUCAGCUGCCACUUCAUCCUAUACCAGUGCCUCCAGCAGAAGCCAAACUCAAAGUUCAG